rnacentral:lncRNA from 1 species
GGAGACAGGGGGACAGCCCCUUCUUCAGCAGGUUCCCGUGGAGAAGGUCCAUCAGCUCCAGCGCGGAUCUUCGCCAUGACUCAGCAGGAGGCUAACACAUCGAACCCGAUGGGAUCAGGUAAUCUCACUCUGGUGUGUUCUGGUGUGUCUGUUUCAUGAACCCUGAUGUUUCUCUUUUCUUUGUUUGCUUGUGAGCCCUUGUGAGGUUGGGUUGAUAGCUUAUGGGUUAGAGUAUUCCCUUGGGGUCAGUGCACCC